rnacentral:rRNA from 1 species
UACAGAGGGUGCAAGCGUUAAUCGGAAUUACUGGGCGUAAAGGGUUCGUAGGUGGCCAAUUAAGUCAGACGUGAAAUCCCUCAGCUCAACUGGGGAACUGCGUCUGAGACUGGAUGGCUUGAGUGCAGGAGAGGAACGCGGAAUUCCAGGUGUAGCGGUGAAAUGCGUAGAUAUCUGGAGGAACACCGGUGGCGAAGGCGGCGUUCUGGACUGCAACUGACACUGAGGAACGAAAGCCAGGGGAGCAAACGGG